rnacentral:rRNA from 1 species
AUGGGUGCUGCCUUCUUGUCCUCAUGGCCGUGGGAUAACCUUGGCAUCUUCAAGUAUGUCCUGUACGGGCCUCUGGUGGGCAAGGCGUUGGCGUCGCGGGCGUGGGAGCCGGCGAGCCCCGACCGCUGGCUCUGCCUCCUGCUGGCGCUCUUCGCGCUCAGGGCCUUCACCUACCAGCUCUGGAGCUCGUACAGCAACAUGCUCUUCCUCACCCGCCGCCGCCGCAUCGUCCGCGACGGCGUCGACUUCGAGCAGAUCGACAAGGAGUGGGACUGGGACAACUUCCUGAUACUGCAGAUAAUGAUGGCGGCCACGGCGCUCUACGCCUUCCCGUCGCUGCGGCACCUCCCGGGGUGGAACACCGGGGGCCUCGCCGUCGCCGCCCUCCUCCACGUCGCGGCCACCGAGCCCCUCUUCUACGCGGCGCACAGGGCCUUCCACGGCGCCCACCUCUUCGCCCGCUACCACGCGCUCCACCACUCCAACAAGGUGCCCACGCCCUUCACAGCCGGGUUCGCGACGCCGCUGGAGCACUUGGUGCUGGGCUUGCUCAUGGCGCUCCCGCUCGCCGGCGCGUGCGCCGCGGGUCUCGGCUCCGUUGGGCUGGCCUUCGCCUACGUGCUCUCUUUCGACUUCCUCAGGGCCAUGGGGCACUGCAACGUGGAGCUGUUCCCCGGCGGCCUCUUCCGGUCGCUCCCGUUCCUCAGAUACCUCAUCUACACCCCAACGUACCACACCAUCCACCACACCGGGAAGAAGGCCAACUUCUGCCUCUUCAUGCCGCUGUUCGACCGGCUGGGUGGCACGCUCGACCCCGAGUCCUGGGAGCUGCAGAGGAAGAACAGAGCAGGGAUGGACGAGGCGCCGGACUUCGUGUUCCUGGCGCACGUGGUGGACGUGAUGCAGUCGAUGCACGUGCCGUUCGUGAUGCGGACCUUCGCCUCCACGCCCUUCGCCGUGCGGGCCUUCCUGCUGCCGCUCUGGCCCAUCGCGCUCCUCUUCAUGUUCAUGGUCUGGGCCUGGUCCAAGACCUUCAUCAUCUCCUACUACCACCUCCGCGGCAAGCUCCACCAGAUCUGGGCCGUCCCCAGAUACGGCUUCCACUAUUUCCUGCCGUUCGCCAAGGACGGCAUCAACGACCAGAUCGAGCUGGCCAUCCUGAGGGCCGAGAGAAUGGGCGUCAAAGUCGUCAGCCUUGCAGCUCUGAACAAGGUCUAUUCUUCACUUCAUUCUGAUGAGAACGAGGCACUCAACGGCGGCGGCACGCUGUUCGUGAACAAGCACCCGGACCUCCGCGUGCGCGUCGUCCACGGCAACACCCUCACGGCCGCGGUCAUCCUCAACGAGAUCCCCAAGGGCACCACCGAGGUCUUCAUGACCGGCGCCACCUCCAAGCUCGGCAGGGCCAUCGCGCUCUACCUCUGCAGGAAGAAGAUCCGCGUCAUGAUGAUGACGCUGUCGACGGAGAGGUUCCAGAAGAUCCAGAAGGAGGCGGCGGCGGAGGACCAGCAGUACCUGGUGCAGGUCACCAAGUUCCAGUCGGCGGAGCAGUGCAAGACGUGGAUCGUCGGCAAGUGGCUGUCGCCGCGGGAGCAGCGGUGGGCGUCGCCGGGCACGCACUUCCACCAGUUCGUGGUGCCCCCCAUCCUCGGCUUCCGCCGGGACUGCACCUACGGCAAGCUCGCCGCCAUGCGCCUCCCCAAGGACGCCCGGGGCCUCGGCUCCUGCGAGUUCUCGCUGGAGCGCGGGGUGGUGCACGCCUGCCACGCCGGCGGAGUCGUGCACUUCCUCGAGGGGUACGCGCACCACGAGGUGGGCGCCAUCGACGUCGACCGCAUCGACGUCGUCUGGGAGGCGGCGCUCAAGCACGGCAUCCGGCCCGUCUGA